rnacentral:rRNA from 1 species
UUAAAUUGAAGAGUUUGAUCAUGGCUCAGAUUGAACGCUGGCGGCAGGCCUAACACAUGCAAGUCGAACGGUAACAGGAAGCAGCUUGCUGCUUUGCUGACGAGUGGCGGACGGGUGAGUAAUGUCUGGGAAACUGCCUGAUGGAGGGGGAUAACUACUGGAAACGGUGGCUAAUACCGCAUAACGUCGCAAGACCAAAGAGGGGGACCUUCGGGCCUCUUGCCAUCAGAUGUGCCCAGAUGGGAUUAGCUUGUUGGUGAGGUAACGGCUCACCAAGGCGACGAUCCCUAGCUGGUCUGAGAGGAUGACCAGCCACACUGGAACUGAGACACGGCCCAGACUCCUACGGGAGGCAGCAGUGGGGAAUAUUGCACAAUGGGCGCAAGCCUGAUGCAGCCAUGCCGCGUGUAUGAAGAAGGCCUUCGGGUUGUAAAGUACUUUCAGCGGGGAGGAAGGUGUUGUGGUUAAUAACCGCAGCAAUUGACGUUACCCGCAGAAGAAGCACCGGCUAACUCCGUGCCAGCAGCCGCGGUAAUACGGAGGGUGCAAGCGUUA